rnacentral:rRNA from 1 species
UUCGUAGGCGGUGCGGCAAGUCGGGAGUGAAAUCUAUGGGCUCAACCCAUAGGCUGCUUCCGAAACUGCCGUGCUGGAGUGUGGGAGAGGCGCGUGGAAUUGCAGGUGUAGCGGUGAAAUGCGCAGAUAUUUGCAGGAACACCCGUGGCGAAAGCGGCGCGCUGGACCACUACUGACGCUGAGGAACGAAAGCUAGGGGAGCAAACAGGAUUAGAUACCCUGGUAGUCCUAGCCCUAAACGAUCAGGACUUGGGGUGCCGCCCGUUCGGGCGUCGUCCCGGAGCUAACGCGUUAAGUCCUGCACCUGGGGAGUACGGUCGCAAGACUGAA